GAUGAAGAACGCAGCGAAAUGCGAUAAGUAAUGUGAAUUGCAGAAUUCAGUGAAUCAUCGAAUCUUUGAACGCACCUUGCACCCUUUGGUAUUCCGAAGGGUAUGCUCGUUUGAGUGUCAUUGUACUCUCACACUUCUAAUUCCUUUCGGGAUUGGGAGCGGUGGACUUGGGUGUUGCUGCUUUAGUUGUGGCUCACCUCAAAUAAGUUAGUGCAACUCUUGGUUGGACAUAGUACGGCGUGUUAAGUGUCUUCGCCGGCGCCUCUGUAAGGAGGGUGGCCGAUCGGGAGCUCUGUGCUUCAAACCGUCUUCGGACAAUCUUUGACAACUUGACCUCAAAUCGAGUAGGACUACCCGCUGAACUUAAGCAUAUCAAAAGCGGAGGA
rnacentral:misc_RNA from 1 species